GAGCUUAGGGAAUCUAAACACCCUGUUCUGUUCAAAAGGGUGGGAAACACAUGAAUUAUACCUUUGUAAGCAAAAUUGAAACAUUUAUCUUUUUCUCUCUACUUGAUCCCUCCAGAAUUCAGAAAUGUAGUGAGUAUUCUUCUUUUCAUGGCAAUAUAGUUAUUUGCAUAAGUUCGGUAAGAAUCUAUUCUCCUUGUAGCAGGACACAAUUGAAAACUGGUUAUAUUACCAAGGCUUUGACUGGAAUGUCAUAUUUGAGAGAGAAUUUUCAUAGACUCAGAUAGGACUAGACAGCUUUAAGGAAACAAGAUUGAAUUUGUGGAGCCAACAAAGCCCCUUGGAAAUAUCAGUCUGGUGCCUUUCUUAUAGGGUUCCCAGGAGCCUUACCAGCUGAGUAAGAAAGGCCAUUUCCUGGCAAGCGCAGGAACCUUAGGAUGUCUUGGGAACCUUAAGAAGAGAGGAGUUCACCCAAAUCUAUAGGUAUUGCAGGUCACUCAGAAGGAUCAUCAGAGACAUUCAAGCUGCAAACUAGGAAAAUCUGUCAGAUUGCCCCUGCCUGCCCUCACUCCAUCUGAAAAUGCUUCAAGUCAGACAUCUAUAAAUUUCAUCUGAUUGCCUUCAAAACUCAGAAACGACUAACCAGAAGAACCUAGAAGGGUAGAGGAAAAUUUCUUCCUCCUCCACAGUGGCAAAUUGUAGGAAGGCAGAUGGGGGAGGAUACAGAGGUCAUCCUGUGUCUGCUUUAUCUCAGUUGUCUUCAGCUGAAAAUAAUCAUUAUGCCAAAGUGGCGUGUACUGGAGUGGCAUACUCUGAAUCCUUCAUGAUACAGCGGCUAAUUGCAUUCCUGACAAGUGACUCCUGUUGAAAGUUGCAAGUUGGGAGAGGACACAUCACAGGGAAUGUGACCCCUCCACCAACUCCUGACAGAUUGGACUCUCGACUCCUCUCGAGGCUAUCUCACUGCUGUUAACUUUCUGUUUUCAACUUUUCCAAAUAGUUGCAGUCUGCAAGAAUGGAUUGAUAGCCUGGCUCUAUGUCCCUCCCCUUUCUCCUAAUACACACACCUUAGUAAUGUAGUUUGAUUGUUAGAUGCAACUGACCCCAGAUAACGGUUGUUCUUUUUUAGGCUCGCUGUAUAAAUGAUCAGGACGAAAGGGAUGGGGAGUUAUAUCAACCAUUGAGAAAAUUUUUAAAAAUUCAUGAUUUUGUCCUGCCCAAUCCCUGAAAAUGAUGUCUCUUUCUGGUUAAGUCGUAUAAAAAUAUUUUUCUGUUAAAACACUUUUGUCCCUCUGCAUGUAGUCUUUCCAGUCAAAAGUUCUGGGUGAGAGUAGGAGAUAAUUAAAAAAAUACAAAGUUAUGAUUGUUGAAUGGGAAACUCUGAUUUGUAACAGUGAAGAAAAAUAAAGACCCAGCACCUGGGGAGGCAUGGAGGAAGGGGAGAGGGCUGUUAAUGAUCUUUAUUUUAAAACUGUUCCUGGAAGCUUUCUUUUCUUUUGGAAGGAAAUCUCUCCAUGCUGCCUUUCCAAGCCCCUGCCAGUGCUUUGAAUUCAGACUGCUAAACCUAUGAGCACAAGAGACAGCAUGGGGGAGUGGGGGUAGGGGGAGGCAUCUCUUGAACUUUCUACCCAGAAAACCUGCAAUAUCAUCUUCAAUCAUGAGGCAGAUGAACUGAUGUCACGGAUGAACAAGUGUUUGGAAACGUCAGGUAGUCCUUCUGAAACCAAGGACUCAACUGAAUUUUUCAAAGUGGAAACCGUGGGGCAGGAGGCCCCACAGUGGAAGGCGACACGGGGGAAGCCUGACUAAGAUAUGUCCUGCUUGGGGUGCCUGAACAAUUGUAAACUCUGGUUCCAGGGAUACCGUGUGUGUCUUCUGGGAUUGUACUUCUUAUGUGUGUACUUGAUAAUCAUGACAAUACCUCAGCCCAGGAAGGCAGCCAGGUCAACUUCAACUUACUGGCCAGAGUUGUGCUGUGCCACCAGGUAAACAGGUUAAAAGCCAGAAAUUUAAGGAGCAAGCCACCUGGACUUUCAAGAUAGACGUUUAUAAUCAAUAGGAUUUGUUUACGCUGGCAAAAUUCAGGAUCCCUAAAGGGCAUAACUGAGGUCAAUACUGUAAGAUCUCACCCUGUGUGUGGGAUUCUACUGAUAAUACCUUUGCUGUAAAGACAUCUUGGCUAAGGACCAAGGGGAUGGGCUGUGCAGAAAAGGGUUAAUAUAGCAAUCCUGAGACUAUGAUCCUUAGGAAAGCCUGCUUGCAAGAUUGGCCCUUGGCUGGCAUCUGGGAACUUGGAUUUUUCGAGUAUUCCCAUGAUUCCCUAAUGAUAAAGGUGGUUUACUGUGCCUAAAGUGUUUGUGCAAAUGAUGUAGUUAAUGCCAGCACCUGCUUUCCUUUUAGAAGUCUGAAAUUUUAGUAUGUGCUAAGCAGAGGGUGGCUAUGUGACUAGUCCUCAAUAAAACCCUUGGGCAUUGAGUCCCUAACUAGCUUCACAUAUGUUGUCACAUUUUGAUUCUGGAGGAAUUACGCACAUCCUGUAUGACUCUACUGGGAGAGAAUUCUGGGAAACUCGCACCUGGUUUUCUUUGGACUUCACCCCAUGCAGUUUUCCCUGUGCUGAUUUUGCUUUGUAUCCUUUGUUGUAAUAAAUCUUAACUGUGAGUAUGACUAUAUGUUGAGUCCUGUCAGUCCUUCUGGUGAAUCUCCAGACCUGGAGGUUGUCUUGGGGACACCUCAUGCCAACUUCUUAGAAUUCUCCUUGGAAAAAACAAUGCAGCAGGCUAUUGGGGAAUGAUAACUCCAUCUGGUGGAGCAAAGGAGAGGCAAGACAGGCCAAGACUGGCUGAGCGUGGAUCUCUCCCCAGCCUCCCCAAUUUCUUAUGAGGAUUCCCCUUUGUAAGCCUCUCCUUCCACAAAAUGGAUGUGCCAAGAUUCCCAAACCAUGGGAACACUGGCUGGGGACACUGUAUCCUUCUUGGGCAUACCUGGGUUAAGUGUCCAUCCCCUGGUGGAUCCCAGUUCAGGAUGUUAUUGCAGGUAUGUUUCCACAUAAUUGAAGAGAGACAGAGGAGUAGGGACAUCAAAACUCUUCUGUUUAUUAUCUCUAAUGAGUCAAAUUCUCUCUAUAAUCAUGAGUGAGUUUGGGGAGAGGGGUUUGUGAAAUGGUAUUUGGUAGAGAAUUCAGAAAAAAAAAGUCCUAACAGAGAUGACAGUGACCCUUCUGCUCUAUAGGAUAUUCAUAUAAGGGGACAAUGACAAAGAAGUCAUAUCAUUCAUCAAACUAUGGUUGAAUAGAGCUUGGGUUACAGGGUCAAUUAUGAUAUUAUGAACAAAGGGGUUUGGGGUAAGAUUCUGGGUUGGAUCCUGAACUGGAAAAAGAACAUUAGUGGGACAGUUGGUGAAAUUUGAAUGAGAUUUGUAGACUCUUUGAUAAUAUUUUAUCAAUGUUAAUUUGUUGGUUUAAACAAUUGUACUAUGGUUAUAUGCCAGCCCUGGUGGUCUAGUGGUUAAG